rnacentral:rRNA from 2 species
GGGUUGUGAGGUUAAGCGACUAAGCGUACACGGUGGAUGCCCUGGCAGUCAGAGGCGAUGAAGGGCGUGCUAAUCUGCGAUAAGCGCCGGUAAGGUGAUAUGAACCGUUAUAACCGGCGAUACCCGAAUGGGGAAACCCAGUGUGACUCGUCACACUAUCAUUAACUGAAUCCAUAGGUUAAUGAGGCGAACCGGGGGAACUGAAACAUCUAAGUACCCCGAGGAAAAGAAAUCAACCGAGAUUCCCCCAGUAGCGGCGAGCGAACGGGGAGGAGCCCAGAGCCUGAAUCAGCAUGUGUGUUAGUGGAAGCGUCUGGAAAGGCGCGCGAUACAGGGUGACAGCCCCGUACACAAAAGCGCAUGUGCUGUGAGCUCGAUGAGUAGGGCGGGACACGUGGUAUCCUGUCUGAAUAUGGGGGGACCAUCCUCCAAGGCUAAAUACUCCUGACUGACCGAUAGUGAACCAGUACCGUGAGGGAAAGGCGAAAAGAACCCCGGCGAGGGGAGUGAAAAAGAACCUGAAACCGUGUACGUACAAGCAGUGGGAGCACCCUUUGGGGUGUGACUGCGUACCUUUUGUAUAAUGGGUCAGCGACUUAUAUUCUGUAGCAAGGUUAACCGUAUAGGGGAGCCGGAGGGAAACCGAGUCUUAAUUGGGCGUUAAGUUGCAGGGUAUAGACCCGAAACCCGGUGAUCUAGCCAUGGGCAGGUUGAAGGUUGGGUAACACUAACUGGAGGACCGAACCGACUAAUGUUGAAAAAUUAGCGGAUGACCUGUGGCUGGGGGUGAAAGGCCAAUCAAACCGGGAGAUAGCUGGUUCUCCCCGAAAGCUAUUUAGGUAGCGCCUCGUGAAUUCAUCUCCGGGGGUAGAGCACUGUUUCGGCUAGGGGGCCAUCCCGGCUUACCAACCCGAUGCAAACUGCGAAUACCGGAGAAUGUUAUCACGGGAGACACACGGCGGGUGCUAACGUCCGUCGUGAAGAGGGAAACAACCCAGACCGCCAGCUAAGGUCCCAAAGUCAUGGUUAAGUGGGAAACGAUGUGGGAAGGCCCAGACAGCCAGGAUGUUGGCUUAGAAGCAGCCAUCAUUUAAAGAAAGCGUAAUAGCUCACUGGUCGAGUCGGCCUGCGCGGAAGAUGUAACGGGGCUAAACCAUGCACCGAAGCUGCGGCAGCGACACUCAGGUGUCGUUGGGUAGGGGAGCGUUCUGUAAGCCUGCGAAGGUGGCCUGUGAGGGUUGCUGGAGGUAUCAGAAGUGCGAAUGCUGACAUAAGUAACGAUAAAGCGGGUGAAAAGCCCGCUCGCCGGAAGACCAAGGGUUCCUGUCCAACGUUAAUCGGGGCAGGGUGAGUCGACCCCUAAGGCGAGGCCGAAAGGCGUAGUCGAUGGGAAACGGGUUAAUAUUCCCGUACUUGGUGUUACUGCGAAGGGGGGACGGAGAAGGCUAUGUUGGCCGGGCGACGGUUGUCCCGGUUUAAGCGUGUAGGUGUGUGUUCCAGGUAAAUCCGGUUCACUUUAACACUGAGGCGUGACGACGAGGCACUACGGUGCUGAAGCAACAAAUGCCCUGCUUCCAGGAAAAGCCUCUAAGCAUCAGGUAACAUCAAAUCGUACCCCAAACCGACACAGGUGGUCAGGUAGAGAAUACCAAGGCGCUUGAGAGAACUCGGGUGAAGGAACUAGGCAAAAUGGUGCCGUAACUUCGGGAGAAGGCACGCUGACACGUAGGUGAAGUGAUUUACUCAUGGAGCUGAAGUCAGUCGAAGAUACCAGCUGGCUGCAACUGUUUAUUAAAAACACAGCACUGUGCAAACACGAAAGUGGACGUAUACGGUGUGACGCCUGCCCGGUGCCGGAAGGUUAAUUGAUGGGGUCAGCGCAAGCGAAGCUCCUGAUCGAAGCCCCGGUAAACGGCGGCCGUAACUAUAACGGUCCUAAGGUAGCGAAAUUCCUUGUCGGGUAAGUUCCGACCUGCACGAAUGGCGUAAUGAUGGCCAGGCUGUCUCCACCCGAGACUCAGUGAAAUUGAACUCGCUGUGAAGAUGCAGUGUACCCGCGGCAAGACGGAAAGACCCCGUGAACCUUUACUAUAGCUUGACACUGAACAUUGAGCCUUGAUGUGUAGGAUAGGUGGGAGGCUUUGAAGUGUGGACGCCAGUCUGCAUGGAGCCGGCCUUGAAAUACCACCCUUUAAUGUUUGAUGUUCUAACGUGGACCCGUGAUCCGGGUUGCGGACAGUGUCUGGUGGGUAGUUUGACUGGGGCGGUCUCCUCCUAAAGAGUAACGGAGGAGCACGAAGGUUGGCUAAUCCUGGUCGGACAUCAGGAGGUUAGUGCAAUGGCAUAAGCCAGCUUGACUGCGAGCGUGACGGCGCGAGCAGGUGCGAAAGCAGGUCAUAGUGAUCCGGUGGUUCUGAAUGGAAGGGCCAUCGCUCAACGGAUAAAAGGUACUCCGGGGAUAACAGGCUGAUACCGCCCAAGAGUUCAUAUCGACGGCGGUGUUUGGCACCUCGAUGUCGGCUCAUCACAUCCUGGGGCUGAAGUAGGUCCCAAGGGUAUGGCUGUUCGCCAUUUAAAGUGGUACGCGAGCUGGGUUUAGAACGUCGUGAGACAGUUCGGUCCCUAUCUGCCGUGGGCGCUGGAGAACUGAGGGGGGCUGCUCCUAGUACGAGAGGACCGGAGUGGACGCAUCACUGGUGUUCGGGUUGUCAUGCCAAUGGCACUGCCCGGUAGCUAAAUGCGGAAGAGAUAAGUGCUGAAAGCAUCUAAGCACGAAACUUGCCCCGAGAUGAGUUCUCCCUGAGACUUAGAGUCUCCUGAAGGAACGUUGAAGACGACGACGUUGAUAGGCCGGGUGUGUAAGCGCAGCGAUGCGUUGAGCUAACCGGUACUAAUGAACCGUGAGGCUUAACCUUACAACGCCGAAG